GAUUCGCAGAGGUAGCGAAAACAGUGCCAACAGAGCUUCCGUGUACCGGAAGCUGAUCAAGAGCCACACCCGUGAAAGGUUACAGUGCCGUCGUAUCUUGUCACUAAUGACAAUGCUGAGUCGCCAAAUUUACCCACAAGGAAGCUCUGUUCAAAUUGAUGAAGGCUGAAUCAAGGAGAGUAUCGAACAAUUAUUCAAACAAACAGAUCAUCAUCCAGCAUGGCUGAUUCUUUGAAAGAAUGUCGUAUGUCUUCAUUAUGCCAUUGAAUAUCAACAGAGAGGGACUGCAAGUACUCUUCAUCUGACUUUUGGUGAAGACUGCUAUAGAAGCUAAUGGGUUGGCAAUCUUUUUACAAGAGCUACGCCUGCAAGGAGCUGAUGGGGAUCAACAGCAACGAGGAGUGGAGAACGUGAAGGAUGAGAAGUUGGCUGUUGUGGAGGACAAAGCAGCAGCAUUGGGGUUGAGGCGAUUGAAUGGCUACGAAAGGAGACGAUUGUUACUUCUAUUAUAAUACUGAAUGUCUGAAGGGUGACCAAUGCCCUUUCUGUCACAGUCAAGCUGCACUCGGUAACAACACUGUCUGUGCAUUGUGGCUACAAGGGUCGUGCUUUUGAUCAGCAU